GACGUAGGGGGCCAGCGUUGUUCGGAAUUACUGGGUGUAAAGGGUUCGUAGGCGGUGUGGCAAGUCGGGAGUGAAAUCUCUGGGCUCAACUCAGAGACUGCUUCCGAAACUGCUGUGCUGGAGUGUGGGAGAGGCGCGUGGAAUUGCAGGUGUAGCGGUGAAAUGCGUAGAUAUCUGCAGGAACACCCGUGGCGAAAGCGGCGCGCUGGACCACUACUGACGCUGAGGAACGAAAGCUAGGGGAGCAAAAGGG
rnacentral:rRNA from 1 species